UACGUAGGGGGCAAGCGUUGUUCGGAUUUACUGGGCGUAAAGGGCGCGUAGGCGGCGUGACAAGUCACUUGUGAAAUCUCCGAGCUUAACUCGGAACGGUCAAGUGAUACUGUUGUGCUAGAGUGCAGAAAGGGCAACUGGAAUUCUUGGUGUAGCGGUGAAAUGCGUAGAUAUCUGGAGGAACACCGGUGGCGAAGGCGGCAUCCUGGACCGAGAUUGACGCUGAGGCGCGAAAGCUAGGGGAGCAAACGGG
rnacentral:rRNA from 1 species